UAUUUCCCAAGUUCAAUCUGGGGAUCAUCCAAAGAGACUGUCAAAGAUGCAUGGAACAAGAAACUAAUGAACUACAACGCAGUUCCUCGAAAGAACAGAACUGGGCGCCGAAUGCAAGUAAGAAGAAUAUAGACCUGGACUCUUUAGCAUUCCAAUCCAUCCAUGGACAGUAACAAUGAGAUUUCUCUGAUGUGCAAGAAUGGACUUAUACAAAUAUGUUAUAAAUAUGAACAGCAUAAAGACCUAGUCAAAUAAGACCACAUGUACUUAUACUCAGAAGUGGAAUAUUUUGUUUUGUGUUCAAACUCCAGUGAACUUGACAUUUAUUUUCCUGUGGGUUUUCUUGUGGGUUUUUUGUUGGGCUUUUGUAGGGAUGGAUUGUUUUAUUUUAUUUUUAUAUUUAGUUAGCAUGAUAAUAAUAUGAACCAGAAAAGGAAAACAGUAUCUAAAUAGAACAAUAAUUCCAGUAUAUGUGUUUAGUAACUGAAGACGAAAUUGUCAUGUCAUACCAUUAUAAACUCUUCAAUUAAGACUUAAACCACUUAGAUACAUUUUUCAUAAGUUACCGUAACAAAACUAAAGUAAGAUAGGUACAAUAGUAUCUGUAUUUUUAAAACAUUCUUUACAACUUACUUUAACAAUUCAAAGAAACAUCUUUUGGAUUUUGGAUAAUUUCUUUUAAAUCAUAGUAUUAGCAUAUUAUUUUCAACUUUGCGUUUGUGUGUGAAAAGGGAAAUUUAUAGAUUUAUGCAUUGAAAAACCACACAACUGUUUAAUACAGCAGUAUUAUGUAUGACAAGCGAAUGAUUAGGAAGUUGGUCUAUUCCUGAUAGAGAAAACUGGGUUUACAUGUUCAGUGUUUUUGAAAAUGCAUAUUAUUCUAAACAAAUUAUAUACCACAGACGUUUUAGUUGCUACUUAUUCUACUAUAUCCAUAACUGCAACAAAUACAAUGCAGUGCUCAAGCUACAGUGGUUUUGAAUUAUUUUCAUUUUAUAAUGUGUUUGAUAUCCAUUCUGAUACAUGUAGAUUUAGAUUAAUAAAUUAUUUAAGCAUU